AGGGUUUGAUUAUGGCUCAGGAUGAACGCUAGCGACAGGCCUAACACAUGCAAGUCGAGGGGCAGCAUAAGAAGUAGCAAUACUUUGGUGGCGACCGGCGCACGGGUGAGUAACACGUAUGCAACCUACCUGUAAGCGGGGAAUAACCCGGAGAAAUUCGGACUAAUACCGCAUAACACCGCUGAACUGCAUGGUUUAGUGGUUAAACAUUUAUGGCUUACAGAUGGGCAUGCGUAUGAUUAGCUAGUUGGUGAGGUAACGGCUCACCAAGGCAACGAUCAUUAGGGGUUCUGAGAGGAAGGUCCCCCACAUUGGAACUGAGACACGGUCCAAACUCCUACGGGAGGCAGCAGUGAGGAGUAUUGGUCAAUGGGCGAGAGCCUGAACCAGCCAAGUCGCGUGAAGGAAGAAGGUUCUAUGGAUUGUAAACUUCUUUUGUAAGGGAAUAAAGUGCAGCACGUGUGCUGUUUUGUAUGUACUUUACGAAUAAGGAUCGGCUAACUCCGUGCCAGCAGCCGCGGUAAUACGGAGGAUCCGAGCGUUAUCCGGAUUUA
rnacentral:rRNA from 1 species